CGACGCAGGGAUGAUGUAGAUGGGAUGAUCAGACAGCAGGCCAGGCAGAGAAGGGCCUGGUUAUGACACUGUUACAUCCUCUGGACACUGAGCGUCAGGUUAUUAUAUCACAAUCACUAUGGUUCUGUUCUUUAUCUCUCCAGACCACAUUUCUCUUGCCUUUUGCUGUGGUCUAUGUUGACAUCUAUUCUUAAGGAGCACUGUCUUGACUAGGGGCUUCUUAAACAGAGGCAAGUAGCACAUACUGUGGUUUCAGGGUGUUGCAGAAAUAGGAGUAGAUAUUUCCCAGGCCUUGACUAAGAUUAGGGUGCCUGAACUAUUUGUCUGUUGGUUGGUUGGUUUCUUAUACCAAUGCUCCACCCUUGAUAUCACUGUGACCUUUAUAAACAUAGGUGAGAAUGAGUAGCAUCUAACAGUAAAUCCACCAGCACUUGUUUUACACCAGCCGAUACCACUAAUGCAUUAGCUAGCUACUGUAAACCCAAAGCAUUCAAGUAACAAUGAGAAUCUUCAUCCUCUUCUUGUGCACUUAUGCAAAAGAGGUUGCAUCCCAGAAUGAAGGUCAGUUAACUAUUGUUUCAAUUCAGUUGAUAGAAAUCAACAUUACAGUAGGUAUUUUUAGUUAAUUUGUUCAACUUUAAAGCCUGUACAGUGAGAUAAUGAUUCCAUAACAUUCUUCUUUCUUUUUUAAUGCCAGGCCUUGUUAAAGCGAAGAUCUUUGGCCCAACGUCUCAAUGUAGAGCAGGCAGUGACCUCUUAUUAACCUGCAGCACAUUUGGGUUCAAGCAAGCUUCAGAAGUGGUAUAUGUUUAUUUAUUUAAGGACGGCAUUGCAAUUUGUGAUAAGAAACAACAGCUUAAGGAACAACAUGAAACUGUAUUUAUUUUGACUAGAGUCAGUACUAAGCAGAAUGGCAACUACAGUUGUAUGUUUUCCAAAAAUAAAAUUUCCUCCUCUGAAAUAAGAGGGAAAGGGGAUAAUUUAAUAGGCAUCACAGUGAUAGAGACUUUGAUCCCUGCUGACCUCGUAACAGGUCCAUCCAUUGUGAGAGAGGGAGAUGAUGUGGAAUUUACGUGUCGAAUGUCAGAUCCUCAAAAAGUAGCAAACAGCAGUUUUGUUCAUUGUUACCUCAUCAAGAACGGGGCUAUCGUUCUGGUUCAGGUGUUUGACAUUCAAAAGAUGAAGGCCAUUUUCACCAUUAGAGCUCUGAGUAACGCAGCCAGUGGCAACUACAGCUGUGUGCUCCUCUUAUUGGACUCUCUGCCAAAAAAAGACGCAGAGCUACAUGGAAGCACUGCUGUGUUUCUUCAGGUGAAGG